UGCGUAGGGGGCAAGCGUUGUCCGGAAUCAUUGGGCGUAAAGCGCGUGUAGGCGGUCCGGUAAGUCCGCUGUGAAAGUCGGGGGCUCAACCCUCGGAUGCCGGUGGAUACUGUCGGGCUUGAGUACGGAAGAGGCGAGUGGAAUUCCUGGUGUAGCGGUGAAAUGCGCAGAUAUCAGGAGGAACACCAAUUGCGAAGGCAGCUCGCUGGGACGUUACUGACGCUGAGACGCGAAAGCGUGGGGAGCAAACAGG
rnacentral:rRNA from 1 species